rnacentral:rRNA from 1 species
GAUGAACGCUGGCGGCGUGCUUAACGCAUGCCAGUCGAACGAAGCACUUUAUUUGAUUUCCUUCGGGACUGAUUAUUUUGUGACUGAGUGGCGGACGGGUGAGUAACGCGUGGGUAACCUGCCUUGUACAGGGGGAUAACAGUUGGAAACGGCUGCUAAUACCGCAUAAGCGCACGGCAUCGCAUGAUGCAGUGUGAAAAACUCCGGUGGUAUAAGAUGGACCCGCGUUGGAUUAGCUAGUUGGUGAGGUAACGGCCCACCAAGGCGACGAUCCAUAGCCGACCUGAGAGGGUGACCGGCCACAUUGGGACUGAGACACGGCCCAAACUCCUACGGGAGGCAGCAGUGGGGAAUAUUGCACAAUGGGCGAAAGCCUGAUGCAGCGACGCCGCGUGAGCGAAGAAGUAUUUCGGUAUGUAAAGCUCUAUCAGCAGGGAAGAUAAUGACGGUACCUGACUAAGAAGCACCGGCUAAAUACGUG